rnacentral:rRNA from 1 species
GACGAACGCUGGCGGCGUGCCUAAUACAUGCAAGUAGAACGCACAGUUUAUACCGUAGCUUGAUACACCAUAGACGGUGAGUUGCGAACGGGUGAGUAACGCGUAGGUAACCUGCCUGGUAGCGGGGGAUAAAUAUUGGAAACGAUAGCUAAUAACACAUAAUAUUAAUUAUUGCAUGAUAAAUAAUUGAAAGGUACAAUUGAAACACUACCAGAUGGAGCUGCGUUUUAUUAGCUAGUAGGUGAGGUAACGGCUCACCUAGGCGACGAUACAUAGCCGACCUGAGAGGGUGAUCGGCCACAUUGGGACUGAGACACGGCCCAAACUCCUACGGGAGGCAGCAGUAGGGAAUCUUCGGCAAUGGACGAAAGUCUGACCGAGCAACGCCGCGUGAGUGAAGAAGGUUUUCGGAUCGUAAAGCUCUGUUGUAAGAGAAGAACGGGUGUGAGAGUGGAAAGUUCACACUGUGACGGUAUCUUACCAGAAAGGGACGGCUAACUACGUG